CCUCAGACAUGCUCCGAUGAAAGGAGCCCCUUACAUCCCAUGGAAGGAACCAGAGUCUCACAAAGGGUAGAGGCUUGUCGAAGGUCACACUCAAGGCUCAAGGUACCGAGGAGGAGUGGGGGAUGGAGAGGUGAAACCUUUACCCACGAACAGCUUAGAAUAUGAGUGACGGCUAACAACUAAAAGCAAAAGAAAACAAAUGAAACCCAAGAGACAGUGAGUCCCGUGAAUACAACACUCGGGAGCUCAGGUAUUGAGCACCAGAACCAUCGUACAGCCAUGUUUGCUUCUAAUCCUGCCUACGCCAGCAUCAGAGACCAACUUUCGGGCUAGACUGUGUUCUACCUCCAAUGUGUUUCAAUCAUUUCCCUCCACAGCAGAGCCAUU
rnacentral:lncRNA from 1 species